UGGCAGCCCCUCCCAGCCUACCCCUCCUGCGCUGCCCCAGAGCCUGAGAAGGAGGCCACUAUUCAGGGUAGCACUGGGAACAGGAGACCCACCUGAGGCUCAGCCCUAGCCCUCAGCCCACCUGGGGAGUUUACUACCUGGGGACCCCCCUUGCCCAUGCCUCCAGCUACAAAACAAUUCAAUUGCUUUUUUUUGGUCCAAAAUAAAACCUCAGCUAGCUCUGCCAAUGUCAAAAAAA
rnacentral:lncRNA from 1 species